rnacentral:rRNA from 1 species
AUGCCUCCCCAGCUCCUCCUACACAGCCUCCUCCAGCUCCGGGUGCCCCCUCGCCACCCCCUCCUCCGCCUCCUCCACUCCUACAACCCCAUUGACCGCCCGCCGCCGCAGGACCCGCCCCUGCACGACGCCGAGCUUUGGAUCGCCAAGGCGCUCGCGACUGCCGCCUUACUCCUGCCACACUACCUCCCGGCAUUCCGCCGCCUCGCGCCCUCCCAGGUCGCCGCCGCCGCCGCGCUCCGCCACGCGCCUUGCGCCUCCUCGACGCUCCACCUCUUCUCUGCGCUGCAUUCCCCCCACUCCCAGCUCGCCAUCCCCCCGUCCGCUCAUUCCUACCGUUACGUCAUCUCGUUGAUGUGCCAGUCCGGCCGCCACACUGAUGCCCUCCAACUGUUCGACCAAAUGACGGACCAGUCUGGUUACUUUCCCAAUGCUCGUUUUCUCUCGUUCCUGUCCGGUUCCUGCGCCACUGCAGGCCUUCUUGAUGCCGCUGCAGCAUUGCUCUCAAAGGCAUCCCAAUUUGGUUGUUCCAUUGAAGCGUAUGCAUAUAACAAGCUCAUGGGCUUGUUCAUUGGCCGUGGCCGGGUGCAGGAGGCUGUGGCAUUGUUUGAGGGGUGGAUCCAGGGGAGAGUAUAUUCUCCGGACGCGUGGAGCUUCAAUGUCAUCAUCAAGGGGGUUUGCAAGGUGGGGGAUGUUCAAAAAGCGCUCGAGUUGGUCGAAAGGAUGGAUGAGUUUGGUUGCUCACCAGAUACUGUCACACAUAAUAUUCUUGUGAAUGGGCUAUGCAGGGCAAAGGAGGUGAGUAAGGGUCGUGAGGUGUUGAGGAGGCUUCAGAGAGAUGGUGUUUGCAAGCCCAAUGUAGUGACAUACACCUCAGUAAUCUCAGGUUACUGUAAGGCUGGCAGGAUGGGGGAUGCAAUGGCAGUAUACGAUGACAUGGUUGCGUGUGGGACAUCACCCAAUGUGGUCACAUACAAUGUGCUAAUCAAUGGAUAUGGCAAGGCUGGGAAUAUGGGGUAUGCGGUGGCAGUGUAUCAGCAAAUGAUACUUCGUCGCUGCCUUCCUGAUGUUGUGACAUUUAGCUCAUUGAUUGAUGGAUAUUGUCGGUGCGGACAGCUUGAUGAUGCAAUGAAGAUUUGGACUGAGAUGUCUCAGUAUCAUAUUCAACCAAAUGCACACACGUUCUGUAUCAUAAUACACACAUUUUGUAAGCAGAACAGAUCAGGGGAAGCACUUCAUUUUUUGAAAAAAAUGAACAUGAGAACAGACAUUGCACCACAAGCGUUUAUAUAUAACCCUGUGAUUGAUGUACUGUGCAAGGGUGGAAAGGUGGACGAAGCAAACAUGAUUCUAAUGGAGAUGGAAGAGAAAGGAUGUCAUCCCGACAAGUAUACAUAUACUAUUUUGAUAAUUGGGCACUGCAUGAAGGGUAGGAUAGCAAAAGCCAUCACAUUUUUCCAUAAAAUGGUAGAGACUGGGUGUACCCCUGACAGUAUAGUAGUCAAUUCUUUUAUUAGCUGCCUUUUAAAGUCUGGGAUGCCUGGUGAGGUGGAUCAUAUAAUGCGUAUUGCAGCAGGGGGUGCUUCAUCGAGUUGGAAAGAUCCUUCUCCUGUAACCCAAAGCGUAGACAUUUCAGUAGCUGUAUAG